ACAGGACAUGAUGAAUUUCCCCAUUUUUGCAAGCAUGGACAGUGAAAAGUAUGCUGGCACACAAUGGUAAUUAAACCAGUAAUUGAAGAAUCCAUACGUUCUAAACAUACAACGCAUGUAGGAAGCUCGAUAAGGGCAGGAGUCGUAGAAGCAAAAGGUUUGGAGGAAGGGCCUACUAGUUGCUGCUCAGUUGAAGAAGAAUCAGAGCUCUCCAUUGGAUAUUUUAUAUUUACUUUGUCAAUAUGUAAAACGUGGCAAGUUUCAGGAUCUAUUUGGCUAAAAGCUUUGCCAUUGAACUCUGUAUAGAACCUAAUAACACUUGCUUGAUCCUUGAAUUUCAACAGCGCCAUGAUCCGAUUUGGAUCUUUCGUCUUAAGAAGACGUAUAUGCUGGAUUGACUUGCAAUGUUUCUCUCCCAAAAAACCCAAUACAUCGGAGGGCGACAUAUAUAAGGGAAUUGCCAAUAUCGCAAGGAUUAGACCUGGCGCAUCAAAUUCAUGGCUUUCUGAAGGAAAUACCCUGUAUAAAUGAACGACGCCAUGUCCAAGAGAUGUCUCCUCAACCUCAGGAACUUUAGAAGAUGGAAAAUCCAUUGAUAAUAACUUUAUUUCACCCAAUCGAAAAUUAAAAUGAUCGCCUCCAAAAGAAUUACCAACAAC